AGCUUUGCACAGUGGCAGUAUCGUAGCCAAUGAGGUUUAUCCGAGGUGCGAUUAUUGCCAAUUGAAAGAUUUAUCUAAGAAAUGUAAUGGAUUGAUUAAACUCAAACAAAGUGCAUUUAUUUUAGAAAGAAAGCUCGAACUUG